ensembl:misc_RNA
UUGAGUGCAUUAGAAACUGAUGUCCUCUAUUCACAGCAAGCACACCUCAGACGCAGCCGUAAUAUAAGCUUUCACACAUGCCUGUCAGAAUAUCCCUAAAUCUUUUGUGACGAAUCUCUUUUUACAGUGAGGAAAUACAUCGGUCUCUAUGCUGACUCAAUCCUUGGCUUUC